rnacentral:lncRNA from 1 species
UCUCUCUCUCUCUCUCUCUCUCUCACACACACACACACACACACACACACACACACACACACACACACACACACACACACACACACACUAUGUAUGUCUACUAAUGCGUAUAAUUAUUAGUGACUAGCUCAAGGACAGCCACGGUUGAACAUAUUAAUGUGAGAUGAAAAUGAUUUGAUUCCACCUGCUUCUCUAAUGACUAAUCAUACUAUGUAUGUCUACUAAUGCGUAUAAUUAUUAGUGACUAGCUCAAGGACAGCCACGGUUGAACAUAUUAAUGUGAGAUGAAAAUGAUUUGAUUCCACCUGCUUCUCUAAUGACUAAUCAUACUCGUAACAGUUUUCAUGUAAUCGGAAUCUUCCCUUUAUUGUAGGUAUGGCUAUAUAACAUAGGCUUUGGUAGUUAUCAGGUUGAGAAAGUUUGUGAUACCUCAGGAGAAGAUGCAUCAUGCAGCAAGUGAUGAGCUAGUUUCAGUCGAAGCUACUUGUUCAAACAAUUAUUUUGUGGAUUUAUCAUGCAAAAUGCAAUAAGCCGUGAUGGACCAGCUUGUCCUAGAGAAUGUCCUUUGUUACUAGGAAUAUUUGUGGACAACUGAUCAGGGUAUUUUCCUGCAGAUUGGUAACCGGUAACAGCAUUGUGGACCAUUUAGUCUCUCUAUAGUGUGCAAUUAAUGGCUAAAACAUGAGAAUCAUGCAAAAUCGUCACGGACACUAUUGACGAAAUGUGGAGGCGAAGAUGUCAAAGGAAAUCUUAUGCUUUCCAGGAAUCCUUUUGUUUCUGCAUUGAGGCCGCAUUCAGACUCUGAUGCCAAGAGGAAAUUCAGUUGAAAUGCUCCUGGGUCAGUACCUGGAUUCUCAAAGAUCAUCAGGGACCUUUGUGAUGAAGUUUGGUCACAAAAUGCAUUCCAUCGAUCUGUUGUCCAUAUCCAUCACAAGAUACAGAGGAGCUCUACUCUAAUUUACUCUGAAUGUAAAUAGCACAAAGUUGAAGGUAUCAUCCUUGUAAAUACAACUCCAUGGUUUCAAUUGAAUAAAUAUGUUCGCAAGUUUGCCU